rnacentral:rRNA from 1 species
ACGGAAGGCAGCAGUGGGGAAUAUUGCACAAUGGGCGAAAGCCUGAUGCAGCGACGCCGCGUGAGUGAUGAAGUAUUUCGGUAUGUAAAGCUCUAUCAGCAGGGAAGAUAAUGACGGUACCUGACUAAGAAGCACCGGCUAAAUACGUGCCAGCAGCCGCGGUAAUACGUAUGGUGCAAGCGUUAUCCGGAUUUACUGGGUGUAAAGGGAGUGCAGGCGGUACGGCAAGUCUGAUGUGAAAGCCCGGGGCUCAACCCCGGUACUGCAUUGGAAACUGUCGAACUAGAGUGUCGGAGGGGUAAGUGGAAUUCCUAGUGUAGCGGUGAAAUGCGUAGAUAUUAGGAGGAACACCAGUGGCGAAGGCGACUUACUGGACGAUAACUGACGCUGAGGCUCGAAAGCGUGGGGAGCAAACAGGAUUAGAUACCCUGGUA